CCCCGAGUUGAUACGUGUCUCCAGUGGCUUUAAGAAGCUUUGGUGUGCGGUAAAAGCAGUGCAGAUCUGUGUAGCCAAAACGCCUGGAGCUAUUAGGGCAGCAUUUACUGUAUUUUGUAUCCUGCUAUUGGAGAUUGGUUCCAGCCCCCCAUCAGGGACUGGAAAUGUUCCUGCUUCCCUGUUACUUAACAGGACAGAGCUGCUCACUGCUGCUUUCUCUUCCUGCUGUUUUUAUCCGAGCGAAUCGAUCUGCCGCAAAACAUAAUCCGUCUCCCGUGUGCGAGCGCGUGUCUUUUUUUUUUUGUUGUGCUAAGUCAUUCUUUCAGCCCUCCUCCCUGGAGCACCGCUACCUUGCUCGAGCAACUGGCGCGGCCCUUCUUCCGUCCGGAGGUCGGGAGCGCCGACGACAAGGAGCAUAGAUCGAAAUUCCACGCGGGUGAAAAAAAACCACGCGUUUCCGAAGGCCGGCUCUCACUUUCGCUUGGUUUUCGCUUUUGGUUUGCGUUGUAUGCGGAGCGACGUCCGGCUCAACAGGACUAGACCAGCUCAGCCGACUCAACGGAGCUCGCGGUAGGAUGAUACCGUGUUGGCUACGGCCACCUCUGAUCAUCAGUCACCGUGGUGAUGCAGGUCCAGCGUUUACCAGAAGAUUAGUCGGACCCUGUGGCGACUUCCUCCUGCUGCUUUCGCAGCUCCAGCCGGAGACAUGGCGGAGAUGCAAGGGGGAGCUGCGUGCGAAGGCUCGGGGAGAAGAUCGGACCCGUCGUCCACGAGCCGCAGAGGACGGUGGCGCGAGGGACGGAGCAGCCCACCACGUACGCGAGGGCACCCUCUUCCCAGAAUAGCCGACAGGUUUGCGGCAAGGGGUCUGAACGGUAACUGGCUGAAAAACCGAAUACGAGGACCCUUCCGAUGACCCGUGACCUUAGAUUUUUACUGUCUUAUUGUUUUCAUCGAGGACGCCCGCGGUACCUGCUCUGAAUGUGUCUCUGUGUUCCGCUAUUUCCAUAAUUGGGCCGUUUAAUGACACUGCUUAUGUAUUCAUAAGCUCUGGAAAUGGAUUUACGUGAUUUGACGGGAUAUUACAUGUGCAGCGUUACUCAGUGUAGAUCUUGUUCGAUCCAUUAAACCUGUUAAUGAACAAAGGCACUUGUUUCCAGGUUCCUCUAUUCCAGACGCACCUUAACAACGGCAAAACGCGGCGGCUCCCCCCCCACCCCCUCCCCCAGGCGACGGGGAGAAUGCGUUUGACCACAGCCGGACCUUCGCGACUUUCAUUAACACCUGGCCGUUAGAGGACCGGUCUGUUGCGCGCGGCUCGGAGCGAG
rnacentral:lncRNA from 1 species